AGUGAACGCUGGCGGCGUGCUUAACACAUGCAAGUCGAACGAGAACGGAUUAUAGCUUGCUAUAAUUGUCAGCUAAGUGGCGCACGGGUGAGUAAUGUAUAGGUAAUAUGCCUCUUACUAAGGGAUAACAAAUGGAAACGUUUGCUAAUACCUUAUACUCCUUAUUAACAUAAGUUAAUAAGGGAAAGAUUUAUUGGUAAGAGAUUAGCCUGUAUUGUAUCAGUUAGUUGGUGGGGUAAUGGCUUACCAAGACUAUGACACAUAACUGGUUUGAGAGGAGUAUCAGUCACACUGGAACUGAGACACGGUCCAGACUCCUACGGGAGGCAGCAGUGGGGAAUAUUGCACAAUGGACGAAAGUCUGAUGCAGCAACGCCGCGUGGAGGAUGACACAUUUCGGUGCGUAAACUCCUUUUAUAUGAGAAGAUAAUGACGGUAUUAUAUGAAUAAGCACCGGCUAACUCCGUGCCAGCAGCCGCCGUAA
rnacentral:rRNA from 1 species